GACAUCACCCGUAUCAACUGAAUGACCACUGACUUCUUUUACUGAUUAAGUAAGUAACAAUUUACCAAACUCUAUUUGCGGAUAGUUGUUUAAGCAAUUAGUGUAUGGCUGAAUUCUUAUGAAACUAAUGAAGAGAGGAAUGAACAAAUAACAUAUCCUUUUUGAAACUAGAAGACGAUAGAUUGAUAAUUGACAUGGUUUCCAUCAGCUUUUCUAUUAUUAUUAAUAUGUCUAUUUAAGGAAUUCUUCACUUGUGAUUAUCUUCUCUUAGCUGGUGGUUGUUUGACUUAUUUGUGUUAUGAUUCAUGAUACAUAUCAGGUUAUUAUUUGUUUGUUGGAUUGAUGAUGGAAAACUGUAUUGCUUUUUGGGGAUCUGUCAUGAACAAGAUACUAAAACUUUUCCCUGUGAAGUGGAAAAUUUGAUGUUUCAGCACAAUGAUGACCAGUUCCGUUUAGUAGAUUCUAGUAAAGAUACUGAUUUGGUUGAUAAAACAGGGAAAGAUGAACUUCUAUAUCCACUACAAGUAGUUGAGAGAUAAAAUUAUUAGCAAGUUUAAAAUGCUCAAUUUACAGAACUAACUCUUCAUAGUUAUACAUCCAUGAUUUGAAUUGCAACAUUAGUAUAGGUUCAAGUCCAACAACAGUUGAUUUCCUACUUGUAGCUCUGCGGGUAGGAUUUGAAUUUCAGGGAAAAGAAGCGUAUUAUACAUAGAGUUUUACUCCUGACAGCAAUCUUCCAAUCGACAACUCUUCUUUUCAUAAAAGCUAUCAGAAAAUUAAGUGAAAAUGGUACAUAGAAACUAGCCUUUAAGAUAUAUUAUCUCUGUGAUGCCAAUUUCUCAGGUGUUGCAAUGUUUUUUGUUUUAUCCAGUGCUGGUCAUAGGGGAGGUAAGCCUGGAUUGAGUGAUCAUACACUAAUGCACUCAUAUCAGCAAGGUCAUCUAUGAAAUUGUAAUGAUAUGAGAUGUCGUAACUGAUUUCUCUGAUGGCUGGGUUCAAUUGCUUGAGUUUCUUCUCAUACAACGCACAAAUUCCAUCCAUUGCUUGACUUAUUUACUCGUAAUCCAUGAAAGUGCGAGUUGCUCAGUUUUGAGAUGUGUGUGUGAGAACAAUAGUGUGAUUGUUUGCCAUUUUACGAAUGAAUAAGGAUUGAGCUUGUAUUUGCUGAAAUUUUGAAGCAGUGAAUCAGAAACUCUGUUUAGGCAGCUGCAGCGACGUCUUUGCUGGCAAUAGAAUUAUUUAAAAGAUUACAACCUUCUUAAUCUGUGUUGUUUCCAUUUUAUACAAAUACCAUAGCAUUCACACAUCUUUUUCCUCUGUUUUUUUAGUUUUGUACAACUGUGUGUGCAUGUUUUUUUAUUUUCUGCACAACUAUGCAUAGUGACUGUAGUCUACAGCUUUCUGGUAUUUCAUGCAGCCUAUAGUUUUCUGGGAUUUAAUGCAUUUAUAAUGAAUGUAAUUUGUAGACAUUUUAUCAGACUUGGGAUACACUAUCAAAGUUUUCUUACUCCUUUUUUUUUAGUUUAAAAUUUUCAGCUUUAUUGAUAUGAAAAGAGAACAAUUACAGCGUGCCCAAUGCCCAAAUUCAAUUAACAAACUAAACAAGAUAGGGCCUCCCUUACCAUUAUCCCAGUUUUGGUGUUACUCUUAUGUAUAGGAUGUUUAAUUUGUCACUGUUCACUAUCCUUCUUCCUCUUGUAUCCAACGUUUUGAGACUGUGAAUAUGCAAUUACCAUUCUCAAUUGCCCUGUUUGCUAGGUGAUCUGCUAGCUGAUUUCCUUCCCUUAAUAUGUGCUGAAAAAUAUGUUGUUUUCCUUCCAAGCAUGUCCUUAUUUCCUCCACUACAUCUGAUAUGCUCCAUGGUAUCGCCCAUUCCCCUGUAAGCACUUUUUUCAGUAGCAUCGAAUCUGUUUUGGAUGAUAACUUUAUUGAGAUUUCUCUGUUUACAAUGCUUGCUAGCUUCUAGUAUCGUUUUUGCUUCCGUCACUAUGCUUGUUGCAUUCUCAAUAGUUACCCCUUCGGCAUGUAUGAUAUCCACUCUUUCAUCCCUCAAGCAAAAAGCAUAGGAACUUAAUCCUGGGUUUCCUCUUGAAGCACCAUCCGUAUUAUAUUUAUUAAUCCAUCCUUCUGGGGGACAUUCCCAUUUAACUUUCUUUGCCGCCAUUCCCGUGCAAUAUUCCUCCAACUCUUUGAUCAUUACUUCCCAUCUACCAGACACAUUCAUCCAUGGUCUUCUUACUUUGAUUAAUCUAUACAUGCUUCUGGUUACAUUGUGGAUUAUCCUUGAUAAUGAUAGAUCCUUUCCCUUUAUGUUUUUUCUUGUUUCUUCUUCUCCAUAGCUCCAUAUAAUAAAGCUUGGAAGUGCUCUAAAAUAUGGUCGCAUAUCAGUUUUGCAUUGUGCUCCCCACCAUUUCAUGAUGAUUUCUCGCAGUGAAAGUCCUACUGCAUUGAUACCUGUAAAAGAAAAGAAGUAUGACCAAGUCCUAUUAGCACAAUUUUUCUUACUCUAAAAUACGGUCGCAUAUCAAAGUUUUCUUACUCAAUUUUUCUUAUAUGUUCUUGCAGCUUGUUAAUAUUUUUGGAUAACCCUUGGUGAAUUUCGGUGUACUUUUGUGAAGAUGGAAGCUACAAGUCAAGAUGCAAGUAUAGAAGAUGCACAAGACUAUCAUUAUUUUGCUCGAGAUAUUGUUAAUUUGCUAACCCUUUUUUUGUUAAACAAAUAUUGAAACUAACACCAUGG
rnacentral:lncRNA from 1 species